UUCAAGAGUACGUGAAACCGUAUAGAGUCAAACGGGUGGAUCCGCAGUGUCAACCCGGGGAAUUCAGCCCGAAGCGCCUCGGCGACUGUGGAGCGUGAGGAUCCUUCUUGGACCGCACACCACGCCUGCCUGGCAGUUAGGGUGCACUUUCUCCGGGCCGAGUGCCACGACCGGUUCUGCGCGCAGUUAGAUGCUCGUUGGGAAGGUGCCCGACCCCUCGGGGACGGAGUUAUAGCCCUUCGACGCGGACCUGCUGCGGGACCGAGGACGCUCGCCGUGCCAAUGGGCCCCUGGACCAACUCUCUUGCUCGACUGUGGCGGACUGCUUGCAGUACGUCGCGACCGCUGGCGAGUGACAGUCUAGUUCUGCUCUUGGUGCCGAGGGUCUGUGGCGAAU
rnacentral:rRNA from 1 species